AUUGAAAUGUUUGUUCUCAGGAAAUUGGUCUCUAGAGUUAAUGAAGAGAGCAGAAGAUGUUGCACGAAGAUAUGAACUUGACAUGGCUACAAUUCCUGUUGAUCGAGCAUGUUUUAAUUCCUUAGGGGAUGUUGACAUGGGAAGUAAUGAGUUGCUAAAAGCAGCAUCUCGAGAGAAUUCUGAUGACAAUUAUUUAUACUAUCCAAGGGCCAUCAAUAUCAAAGAGGAGGAUUUGAAGCAUUUUCAAUACCAUUGGAUGAGAGCUGAACCUGUGGUAGUUAGUAAUGUUCUUGAAACUGGAACUGGCUUAAGUUGGGAGCCAACGGUCAUGUGGCGUGCCUUCCGCCAGAUAAGAAAUGAAAAAC
rnacentral:misc_RNA from 1 species